UUAAAACCAGCCCUAGCCAACCAGUUCCUUUCACGGGGAUCUGGUAUGUAAUAGUUGCUGAGAGCAACCUCCUUGGUAGUGUAUGCAGCCUGGUAUGUCGGGUUCCCUUUAGAGACCUUCCAGACAGUU
ensembl:snoRNA SNORA70 Small nucleolar RNA SNORA70